rnacentral:lncRNA from 1 species
CUAUGAUUGACAGCGGCGCGAGCCAAUAGCGAUAAGCAGGAGGAGGGGCAGCACAUGGCUCGGAGGCCGCGUGGGCGAACGCGCUUUAUUGAUGUGGGGGAGGGGCUGGGGGGGGUCCCCAAACUGAGGGGGAGGCUCAGGAUCGACCCCCCCAAAACCUGAGCAGGGGUUUGAGCGUCCUCACGGCCACAAUCCUGGGGUUUGUCCCCACAUCCUCCUUAGGUGUCCCCCAAAUCCUCCUUAGGUGUCCCCCAAAUCCUCCUUGAGUGUCCCCAAUUCCUUGAUGUCCUCAAAUCCUUGGGUGUCCCCCAAAUCCUCCUUGAGUGUCCCCAAAUCCUUAGGGGUACCCAAAUCCUUGGUGUCCCCAAAUCCUUGGGUGUCCCCAUUUCCUUGGGUGUCCCCAAAUCCCCUCAGGUGUCCCCAAAUCCUUGGGUGUCCCCAAGUCCUUGGGUGUCCCCAAAUCCCCUCAGGUGUCCCCAAAUCCUUGGGUGUCCCCAAAUCCUUGGUGUCCCCACUUUUGGAGGGGGGUUGUGUCCACUCAGGGGGGGUUCGUGUCCCCUCAGGACCCUCAGGACAAAGUGUCCCCAAAUCCCCUCAUGUGUCCUCAAAUCCCUGGUGUCCCCACUUUUGGGGGGUUGUGUCCCCUCAGGAGAUUUGUGUCCCCUCAGCACAAAAUGUCCCCACACAGCGUCCCCAUCAUUGUCCCCGCAGCGUUGGAGUGUCCCCGUUGAUCCUCGCAGCGUCCUCUCCGUCACCUCUCCCACCCCAGAUUUCUGGGGUUCCCCUGAAGAAUUUUUGGGGUUCCCCUGAAGAAUUUUGGGGUUCCCGGGUUUUGGGGCUCAGGGCUGCAUCCUCAGGGCCCCGUCCAGCCUCACCACCUCGCCGUUGACCAUGGGGUUCUCGGCCAGGGCCUGCACCAGGUGCGCGAACUCGGCGGGGUCCCCGAGGCGGGACGGGAACGGCACCUGCUGGCCCAGGAAGCGCCGAACCUUCUCUGGGAGCCCGGCCAGGAGAGGGGUGGAGAACAGCCCUGGGA